CUGGUUGAUCCUGCCAGUAGUCAUAUGCUUGUCUCAAAGCUUAAGCCAUGCAAGUCUCAGUACGAACUGACUUAAAGUGAAACCGCAAAAGGCUCAGUAAACCGGUCGUAGUUUACCGGAUAUAUGCCACUUACGUGGAUAACU
rnacentral:rRNA from 1 species